rnacentral:rRNA from 1 species
CCUACGGGAGGCAGCAGUGAGGAAUAUUGGUCAAUGGGCGGGAGCCUGAACCAGCCAAGCCGCGUGAGGGAAGAAGGUACAGCGUAUCGUAAACCUCUUUUGUCAGGGCACAAAGGCGGGGACUAGUCCCCGGAUGAGGAUACCUGAAGAAAAAGCAUCGGCUAACUCCGUGCCAGCAGCCUCGGUAAUACAGAGGAUGCGAGCGUUCUCCGGAUUUAUUGGGUUUAAAGGGUGCGCAGGCGGCCUGUUAAGGCAGCUGGAAAAGGCCAGGGACCAACCCCGGCGAGCCGCUGAAACUGGCGGGCUGGAGUUGGAGAGACGUACGCGGAAUGCGCGGUGUAGCGGUGAAAUGCUUAGAUAUCGCGCAGAACCCCGAUUGCGAAGGCAGCGUACCGGCUCCACACUGACGCUGAGGCACGAAAGCGUGGGUAUCGAACAGGAUUAGAUACCCCAGUAGUC